AGAUUGAACGCUGGCGGCAUGCCUUACACAUGCAAGUCGAACGGCAGCACGGGAGCAAUCCUGGUGGCGAGUGGCGAACGGGUGAGUAAUAUAUCGGAACGUGCCCAGUCGUGGGGGAUAACGCAGCGAAAGCUGUGCUAAUACCGCAUACGAUCUAUGGAUGAAAGCGGGGGAUCGCAAGACCUCGCGCGAUUGGAGCGGCCGAUAUCAGAUUAGCUAGUUGGUAGGGGUAAAAGCCUACCAAGGCGACGAUCUGUAGCUGGUCUGAGAGGACGACCAGCCACACUGGAACUGACGACA
rnacentral:rRNA from 1 species